ACACUGAUCAGGCAGGCAGCAGGGUGAAGCUCAUGCCCUGCACUCUGGGUGUGUGAUUUCCACAAAUAUGGGAAACUUGAUUGCAUCAUUUGUGGUAGCGGGGGACUGUGUUCACACUUUCCCCUG